rnacentral:rRNA from 1 species
UACGGAGGGUGCAAGCGUUAUCCGGAUUCACUGGGUUUAAAGGGUGCGUAGGUGGGCAAGUAAGUCAGUUGUGAAAUCUCCGGGCUUAACCCGGAAACUGCCAUUGAUACUAUUUGUCUUGAAUACUGUGGAGGUCAGCGGAAUAUGUCAUGUAGCGGUGAAAUGCUUAGAUAUGACAUAGAACACCGAUAGCGAAGGCAGCUCACUAGGCCUGGAUUGACGCUCAUGGACGAAAGCGUGGGGAGCAAACAGG